UACGUAGGGUGCGAGCGUUAAUCGGAAUACUGGGCGUAAAGCGUGCGCAGGCGGUUCGUUGUGUCGGCGGUGAAAGCCCCGGGCUUAACCUGGGAAUGGCCGUCGAAACUGGCGAACUGGAGUGUGGCAGAGGGGGGUGGAAUUCCGCGUGUAGCAGUGAAAUGCGUAGAGAUGCGGAGGAACACCGAUGGCGAAGGCAGCCCCCCUGGGCUGACACUGACGCUCAGGCACGAAAGCGUGGGGAGCAAACAGG
rnacentral:rRNA from 1 species